UACAGAGGGUGCAAGCGUUAAUCGGAAUUACUGGGCGUAAAGCGCGCGUAGGUGGUUUGUUAAGUUGAAUGUGAAAUCCCCGGGCUCAACCUGGGAACUGCAUGCAAACUGGACAACUAGAGUAUGGUAGAGGGUGGUGGAAUUUCCUGUGUAGCGGUGAAAUGCGUAGAUAUAGGAAGGAACACCAGUGGCGAAAGGCGACCACCUGGACUGAUACUGACACUGAGGUGCGAAAGCGUGGGGAGCAAACAGG
rnacentral:rRNA from 1 species